UUUAAUGAUUCAGCUCCCAAACUGCUGGAAAUGUGGGACGGGUUCUAACUCUUCACCAAAACUGCUUUAUCCUGGAGAAGAGGUUUGAGGUGAGACUCCUGUCAUACGCCAGUCCUGUGUCUCCAGGUUACAGUGUGGAUCCUUCAGUAGAUCAGAGAGCAGCUUCACUCCUGAUUCUCCUGGAUUAUUACAGUUCAGAUCCAGUUCUCUCAGGUGUGAUGAGGAGUUUGACCUCAGAGCAGAAGCCAGAGCAGCACAACCUUCAUCUGUAAUCCUGCAGUCACACAUCCUGCAAGAAAGAAAACCUUCUCACACUUAACACACUCAGUUUUAGCUCUGAAAACAUCAACUACACAAAAUCUUUAUAUACACAACAUUUACUCUCAUCUCACACACACAACAAUGACAAUAUCACAUCACUACAAUUACAAUCACCACAGAGGGAAACUGUGUGUGUGUGAGUGUGUGUGUGUGUGUACCUCAGUUUCUCCAGUGUAGUGUGUGUGUGUGUGUGUGUGUGUGAGAGAGAGUGUGUGUGUGAGAGAGAGUGUGUGUGUACCUCAGUAUCGCCAGUGUACAGUGUGUGUGUGUGUAUGAGAGUGUGUGUGUACCUCAGUAUCUCCAGUGUACAGUGUGUGUGUGUGUGUGUGAGAGUGUGUG